rnacentral:rRNA from 1 species
AGAGUUUGAUCAUGGCUCAGAGCGAACGCUGGCGGCAGGCUUAACACAUGCAAGUCGAGCGGGCGUAGCAAUACGUCAGCGGCAGACGGGUGAGUAACGCGUGGGAACGUACCUUUUGGUUCGGAACAACACAGGGAAACUUGUGCUAAUACCGGAUAAGCCCUUACGGGGAAAGAUUUAUCGCCGAAAGAUCGGCCCGCGUCUGAUUAGCUAGUUGGUGAGGUAAUGGCUCACCAAGGCGACGAUCAGUAGCUGGUCUGAGAGGAUGAUCAGCCACAUUGGGACUGAGACACGGCCCAAACUCCUACGGGAGGCAGCAGUGGGGAAUAUUGGACAAUGGGCGCAAGCCUGAUCCAGCCAUGCCGCGUGAGUGAUGAAGGCCCUAGGGUUGUAAAGCUCUUUUGUGCGGGAAGAUAAUGACGGUACCGCAAGAAUAAGCCCCGGCUAACUUCGUGCCAGCAGCCGCGGUAAUACGAAGGGGGCUAGCGUUGCUCGGAAUCACUGGGCGUAAAGGGUGCGUAGGCGGGUCUUUAAGUCAGGGGUGAAAUCCUGGAGCUCAACUCCAGAACUGCCUUUGAUACUGAAGAUCUUGAGUUCGGGAGAGGUGAGUGGAACUGCGAGUGUAGAGGUGAAAUUCGUAGAUAUUCGCAAGAACACCAGUGGCGAAGGCGGCUCACUGGCCCGAUACUGACGCUGAGGCACGAAAGCGUGGGGAGCAAACAGGAUUAGAUACCCUAGUAGUCC